CUUCGGCCCGAGUUGUAAUUUGCAGAGGAAGUAUUUGGCGCGGUGCCUUCCGAGUUCCCUGGAACGGGACGCCAUAGAGGGUGAGAGCCCCGUCUGGUUGGACACUAAGCCUGUGUAAUACUCCUUCGACGAGUCGAGUAGUUUGGGAAUGCUGCUCUAAAUGGGAGGUAAAUCUCUUCUAAAGCUAAAUACCGGCCAGAGACCGAUAGCGCACAAGUAGAGUGAUCGAAAGAUGAAAAGCACCUUGAAAAGGGGGUUAAACAGUACGUGAAAUUGUUGAAAGGGAAGCGUUUAUGACCAGACUUGUGCCGUGUGGCUCAUCCGGGGUUCUCCCCGGUGCACUCCACACGGUUCAGGCCAACAUCGGUUCUCGUUGGGGGAUAAGAACAGUAGGAACGUGGCCCUCUUCGGAGGGUGUUAUAGCCUAUUGUACGAUACCUUGAUGGGGACCGAGGACCGCGCUUCGGCUAGGAUGUUGGCGUAAUGGUCAUUAGCGACCCGUCUU
rnacentral:rRNA from 1 species